UACGGGGGGGGCAAGCGUUGUUCGGAAUUACUGGGCGUAAAGGGCGCGUAGGCGGCCUGCUAAGUCGGACGUGAAAUCCCUCGGCUCAACCGAGGAACUGCGUCCGAUACUGGUGGGCUUGAAUCCGGGAGAGGGAUGUGGAAUUCCAGGUGUAGCGGUGAAAUGCGUAGAUAUCGGUGAGGAACACCGGUGGCGAAGGCGGCA
rnacentral:rRNA from 1 species